UACAGAGGUCUCAAGCGUUGUUCGGAUUCAUUGGGCGUAAAGGGUGCGUAGGUGGCGGGGUAAGUCAGGUGUGAAAUUUCGGAGCUCAACUCCGAAACUGCAUUUGAUACUGCCUUGCUUGAGGACUGGAGAGGAGACUGGAAUUCACGGUGUAGCAGUGAAAUGCGUAGAUAUCGUGAGGAAGACCAGUGGCGAAGGCGGGUCUCUGGACAGUUCCUGACACUGAGGCACGAAGGCCAGGGGAGCAAACCGGG
rnacentral:rRNA from 1 species